AUUGAACGCUGGCGGCAGGCUUAACACAUGCAAGUCGAACGAGCGGCGGACGGGUGAGUAAUGUCUGGGACACUGCCUGCUGGAGGGGGAUAACUACUGGAAACGGUAGCUAAUACCGCAUACCAUCGGAUGUGCCCAGCUGGGAUUAGCUAGUAGGUGGGGUAACGGCUCACCUAGGCGACGAUCCCUAGCUGGUCUGAGAGGAUGACCAGCCACACGUGAACUGAGACACGGUCCAGACUCCUACGGGAGGCAGCAGUGGGGAAUAUUGCACAAUGGGCGCAAGCCUGAUGCAGCCAUGCCGCGUGUGUGAAGAAGGCCUUCGGGUUGUAAAGCACUUUCAGCGGGGAGGCGUUACCCGCAGAAGAAGCACCGGCUAACUCCGUGCCAGCAGCCGCGGUAAUUC
rnacentral:rRNA from 1 species